rnacentral:rRNA from 1 species
GACGAACGCUGGCGGCGUGCUUAACACAUGCAAGUCGAACGAUGAAGCCGGAGCUUGCUCUGGUGAAUUAGUGGCGAACGGGCGAGUAACACGUGAGUAACCUGCCCUUGACUCUGGGAUAACUGCGGGAAACUGUAGCUAAUACCGGAUACGACCCUCGGAGGCAUCUCAUAGGGGUGGAAAGAAUUUCUGUCAAGGAUAGACUCGCGGCCUAGCAGGUAGUUGGUGAGGUAAAGCCUCACCAAGGCUACGACGGGUAGCCGGGCUGAGAGGGUGACCGGCCACACUGGGACUGGGACACGGCCCAGACUCCUACGGGAGGCAGCAGUGGGGAAUAUUGCACAAUGGGCGCAAGCCUGAUGCAGCAACGCCGCGUGAGGGAUGACGGCCUUCGGGUUGUAAACCUCUUUUAGCAGGGAAGAAGCGAAAGUGACGGUACCUGCAGAAAAAGCACCGGCUAACUACGUGCCAGCAGCCGCAGUAA